GCAAACUUGGUCAUUUAGAGGAAGUAAAAGUCGUAACAAGGUUUCCGUAGGUGAACCUGCGGAAGGAUCAUUAACAAAUCCUUAGGAUGCUGCUGGCUUUCUUAUUCAGAUAAGCAUGUGCACUCCACCUUAUUUACCCCCUGUGCACUUAUUGUAGAUAUCGAACUUGUUUUGAUAUCUACGUUUUUAUACACAUAAGUUUUAUAUAGAAUGUUUGUAUGACUUGAUUAACACCGAGUCAAAUUUUAAAUACAACUUUCAACAAUGGAUCUCUUGGUUCUCGCAUCGAUGAAGAACGCAGC
rnacentral:misc_RNA from 1 species